GGGGGGACCACCCAAUGCUGGGCUGUGUCCCCGGCGCCCUGGGCUCCCGGGCCUGCACUGCUGGAAUCGCGCUCCCGGCCGUGCAGCGCCCC
rnacentral:pre_miRNA from 1 species